rnacentral:rRNA from 1 species
AUUGAACGCUGGCGGCAGGCCUAACACAUGCAAGUCGAACGAGUGGCGGACGGGUGAGUAAUGUAUGGGAAACUGCCUGAUGGAGGGGGACACCUACUGGAAACGGUAGCUAAUACCGCAUACCACCAGAGGUGCCCAGAUGGGAUUAGCUAGUUGGUGGGGUAACGGCGCACCAAGGUGACGAUCCCUAGCUGGUCUGAGAGGAUGACCAGCCACACUGGGACUGAGACACGGUCCAGACUCCUACGGGAGGCAGCAGUGGGGAAUAUUGCACAAUGGGCGAAAGCCUGAUGCAGCCAUGCCGCGUGUGUGAAGAAGGCCUUCGGGUUGUAAAGUACUUUUGGCAGGGAGGCGUUACCCGCAGAAGAAGCACCGGCUAACUCCGUGCCAGCAGCCGCGGUAAUAC